GUAGUCCCACGCCGUAAACGAUGAUAACUAGCCGUUGGGGGGAUUUACCCUUUAGUGGCGAAGCUAACGCGUNAAGUUAUNCCGCCUGGGGAGUACGGCCCGCAAGGCUAAAACUCAAAGGAAUUGACGGGGACCCGCACAAGCGGUGGAGCAUGUGGUUUAAUUCGAUGCAACGCGAAGAACCUUACCCUGGUCUUGACAUCCUGCGAACUUUCUAGAAAUAGAUUGGUGCCUUCGGGAACGCAGUGACAGGUGCUGCAUGGUUGUCGUCAGCUCGUGUCGUGAGAUGUUGGGUUAAGUCCCGUAACGAGCGCAACCCCUAUCCUUAUUUGCCAGCACAUUAUGGUGGGAACUAUAAGGAGACUGCCGGUGAUAAACCGGAGGAAGGCGGGGACGACGUCAAGUCAUCAUGGCCCUUACGACCAGGGCUACACACGUGCUACAAUGGGAAGGACAAAGAGCCGCGAAGCCGCGAGGUGUAGCUAAUCUCAUAAAUCUUUUCGUAGUCCGGAUUGGAGUCUGCAACUCGACUCCAUGAAGUCGGAAUCGCUAGUAAUCGUAGAUCAGAAUGCUACGGUGAAUACGUUCCCGGGUCUUGUACACACCGCCCGUCAUACCAUGGGAGUGGGUUGCACCAGAAGUGGCUAGUCUAACUUUGUGAGGACAGUCACCACGGUGUGAUUCAUGACUGGGGUAAAGUCGUAACAAGGUA
rnacentral:rRNA from 1 species